CGAGCCGGUCCAGGCAAUCGCGCGUUCGUCAUCGGCGAACGUGAGGAAAGUCCGGGCUCCACAGGACAGGGCGCCAGGUAACCCCUGGGGGGCGUGAGCCCACGGAAAGUGCAGCAGAGAGCAGACCGCCGAUCCGAAGGGCGAGGCAAGGGUGAAAAGGUGCGGUAAGAGCGCACCGCGAGCGUUGGCAACAAACUCGGCUAUGCAAA
rnacentral:RNase_P_RNA from 1 species